AGUGAACGCUGGCGGUAGGCCUAACACAUGCAAGUCGGACGGUAGCACAGGGGAGCUUGCUCCUCGGGUGACGAGUGGCGGACGGGUGAGUAAUGUCUGGGGAUCUGCCCGAUAGAGGGGGAUAACCACUGGAAACGGUGGCUAAUACCGCAUAAUGUCGCAAGACCAAAGAGGGGGACCUUCGGGCCUCUCACUAUCGGAUGAACCCAGAUGGGAUUAGCUAGUAGGCGGGGUAACGGCCCACCUAGGCGACGAUCCCUAGCUGGUCUGAGAGGAUGACCAGCCACACUGGAACUGAGACACGGUCCAGACUCCUACGGGAGGCAGCAGUGGGGAAUAUUGCACAAUGGGCGCAAGCCUGAUGCAGCCAUGCCGCGUGUAUGAAGAAGGCCUUCGGGUUGUGAAGUACUUUCAGCGGGGAGGAAGGCGAUGUGGUUAAUAACCGCGUCGAUUGACGUUACCCGCAGAAGAAGCACCGGCUAACUCCGUGCCAGCCGCCGCAGUAA
rnacentral:rRNA from 1 species